GAUGAACGCUAGCGGCAGGCUUAACACAUGCAAGUCGAGGGGUAUAGUUCUUCGGAACUAGAGACCGGCGCACGGGUGCGUAACGCGUAUGCAAUCUACCUUUUACAGAGGGAUAGCCCAGAGAAAUUUGGAUUAAUACCUCAUAGUAUGUGAGAAUCGCAUGAUUUUCACAUUAAAGUUCCAACGGUAAAAGAUGAGCAUGCGUCCCAUUAGCUAGAUGGUAAGGUAACGGCUUACCAAGACGAUGAUGGGUAGGGGUCCUGAGAGGGAGAUCCCCCACACUGGUACUGAGACACGGACCAGACUCCUACGGGAGGCAGCAGUGAGGAAUAUUGGUCAAUGGUCGCAAGACUGAACCAGCCAUGCCGCGUGCAGGAAGACGGUCCUAUGGACUGUAAACUGCUUUUAUACAGGAAGAAACCCUCCCACGUGUGGGAGCUUGACGGUACUGUAGGAAUAAGGAUCGGCUAACUCCGUG
rnacentral:rRNA from 1 species